rnacentral:rRNA from 1 species
AUUGAACGCUGGCGGCAUGCCUUACACAUGCAAGUCGAACGGUAACAGGUCUUCGGAUGCUGACGAGUGGCGAACGGGUGAGUAAUACAUCGGAACGUACCUAGUAGUGGGGGAUAACUACUCGAAAGGGUGGCUAAUACCGCAUGAGAUCUACGGAUGAAAGCAGGGGAUCGCAAGACCUUGUGCUACUAGAGCGGCCGAUGGCAGAUUAGGUAGUUGGUGGGAUAAAAGCUUACCAAGCCGACGAUCUGUAGCUGGUCUGAGAGGACGGUCAGCCACACUGGGACUGAGACACGGCCCAGACUCCUACGGGAGGCAGCAGUGGGGAAUUUUGGACAAUGGGCGCAAGCCUGAUCCAGCAAUGCCGCGUGCAGGAUGAAGGCCUUCGGGUUGUAAACUGCUUUUGUACGGAACGAAAAGCCCUGGGUUAAUACCCUGGGGUCAUGACGGUACCGUAAGAAUAAGCACCGGCUAACUACGUGCCAGCCGCCGCCGUAA